rnacentral:rRNA from 1 species
CCUACGUGAGGCAGCAGUGAGGAAUAUUGGUCAAUGGGCGGAAGCCUGAACCAGCCAAGUAGCGUGCAGGAUGACGGCCCUACGGGUUGUAAACUGCUUUUAUACGGGAAUAACGCGCCUUACGUGUAGGGCUUUGCAUGUACCGUAUGAAUAAGGACCGGCAAAUUCCGUGCCGGCAGCCGCGGUAAUACGGAAGGUCCGGGCGGUAUCCGGAGUGAUUGGGAUGAAAGGGAGCGUAGGGCGCAGGUCAAGGGUGCUGUGAAAUGUCCGGGCUCAACCCGGGCCUUGAAGCGCGAACUGGCGUGCUUGAGUCCGCGGAAAGCAGGCGGAAUUCGUCGUGUAGCGGUGAAAUGCUUAGAUAUGACGAAGAACCCCGAUUGCGAAGGCAGCUUGCUGCAGCGGAACUGACGCUGAUGCUCGAAAGCGCGGGUAUCGAACAGGAUUAGAUACCCUUGUAGUC